CUGUAGCGUAGCUUCUGAUUGGGCAGUCCACCGUUUUACUUCCUUCGUGGUCACAUCUUCCCUCCGUAUGCUUUGUUUAUACUGGGGAAUGAGGAAGAUGGCGUUGUGGUCAGACUUCCCAAAAGCCGGGUGUGAGACAGCUUUGUAGCCCUGCUUGUAUGGCGUGUAGCAGUGAUCCAAAAUCCGAUUCGCUUUGUUAAAGUCUCCUGCUACAAUAAGGGCUGCGCCCGGUCCUUGUUUGUGUGUGUGUGUGUGUGUGUGUGUGUGUGUGUGUGUGUGUGUGUGUGUGUGUGUGUGUGUGAGAGAGAGAGAGAGAGAAUUUGCAUUUAAAACAUCUCUUUAAGGGUUUUUUGUGUUUUAUGUUAAACAAGCUGUUUGAGAAUUUAUGUCCAAACUACAGAGGCAUACGUGUGUGUCUACAUUUCUUUGUUUUUUUCUUUUUGUUUCUUUUUUUGGUAGUUUGAAUGUCUUUUUGUUUUUGCAUCAUCAGUUAAAAGUAUUUUCUGUCACUGAAAACGUAUUCUGCAGUCAGUCAGCGCCUACAAUUUAAGUCAAAGUUACAGGACUACAAUACUGUUGCUCAUAAAUGUUUGACCACUGGGCCCAGUGUUAGGUAACCUUUAAAUCUUAAGACUGAUUUUCAUCAGCGAUGUUAGCGAUACACCUGUCUGCGUGACAACAGCACUAUUUCCUGCCCUGAGUCAUUGGACCUUUUGUAUUUGGUAAAACUGAGGCCUUAAUGUGACAUAACUGUAGAAGGCUUGUAUGAGGCAAACCUAUAGAAUGAAUGUUUUCUGUUUGAUAAAGCGUCUCAAUUGUGCUGUUGACACUUUUUGUAACUAUGUCAAAUUCAUAGCAAUAAUUGCUAACACUUUUAUUCAACUGGACUUUUAUUGUGAAACAUUUCGUGGUGUACUAUGGGCCAUGGCAGUCGGAUGGAACUGAAUGGAGCGAAAGCAGAGUCGAUCCAAAUGAAUCAAAGACCCAUUCAUUUUCUUCCACUUUUCCAAUUUAGGGUUGCAGGGUGAUUGGAGCCUCUCCCAGCUGCCAUGGUGUGAGAGACAGGGUACACUGUGCACGGAACCUGU
ensembl:lncRNA